UACGAACGCUGGCGGCGUGCCUAAUACAUGCAAGUAGAACGCUGACUACUUUAGCUUGCUAGAGUAGAAGGAGUUGCGGACGGGUGAGUAACGCGUAGGUAACCUGCCUACUAGCGGGGGAUAACUAUUGGAAACGAUAGCUAAUACCGCAUAACAGUGUUUAACACAUGUUAGAUGCUUGAAGAUGCAAUUGCAUCACUAGUAGAUGGACCUGCGUUGUAUUAGCUAGUUGGUGGGGUAACGGCCCACCAAGGCGACGAUACAUAGCCGGCCUGAGAGGGUGAUCGGCCACACUGGGACUGAGACACGGCCCAA
rnacentral:rRNA from 1 species